rnacentral:rRNA from 1 species
GACGAACGCUGGCGGCGUGCCUAAUACAUGCAAGUUGAGCGCUGAAGGUUGGUACUUGUACCAACUGGAUGAGCAGCGAACGGGUGAGUAACGCGUGGGGAAUCUGCCUUUGAGCGGGGGACAACAUUUGGAAACGAAUGCUAAUACCGCAUAAAAACUUUAAACACAAGUUUUAAGUUUGAAAGAUGCAAUUGCAUCACUCAAAGAUGAUCCCGCGUUGUAUUAGCUAGUUGGUGAGGUAAAGGCUCACCAAGGCGAUGAUACAUAGCCGACCUGAGAGGGUGAUCGGCCACAUUGGGACUGAGACACGGCCCAAACUCCUACGGGAGGCAGCAGUAGGGAAUCUUCGGCAAUGGACGAAAGUCUGACCGAGCAACGCCGCGUGAGUGAAGAAGGUUGUCGGAUCGUAAAACUCGGUUGGUAGAGAAGAACGUUGGUGAGAGUGGAAAGCUCAUCAAGUGACGGUAACUACACAGAAAGGGACGGCUAACUACGUG